GAUGAACGCUGGCGGCGUGCCUAAUACAUGCAAGUCGAGCGAACGGACGAGAAGCUUGCUUCUCUGAUGUUAGCGGCGGACGGGUGAGUAACACGUGGAUAACCUACCUAUAAGACUGGGAUAACUUCGGGAAACCGGAGCUAAUACCGGAUAAUAUUUUGAACCGCAUGGUUCAAAAGUGAAAGACGGUCUUGCUGUCACUUAUAGAUGGAUCCGCGCUGCAUUAGCUAGUUGGUAAGGUAACGGCUUACCAAGGCAACGAUGCAUAGCCGACCUGAGAGGGUGCACGGCCCACCUGGAACUGAGAACCCGUCCAGGCUCCCACGGGAGGCAGCAGGUGGGAAGCCUCCGGAAAGGGGGAAAGCCUGACGGAGCCACCGCGGGGGGAGUAAGAAGGUUUUUGGGUCGUAAAACUCCUUUAUUAGGGAAAAACAAAUUGGGAAGUAACUUUGCCCCUCUUGACGGUACCUAAACAGAAAGCCCCGGCUAACUACGG
rnacentral:rRNA from 1 species